rnacentral:rRNA from 1 species
UACGUAGGGGGCAAGCGUUGUCCGGAAUCAUUGGGCGUAAAGCGCGUGUAGGCGGCCAGAAAAGUCCGCUGUGAAAACUCGAGGCUCAACUUCGAGCUGUCGGUGGAAACUUUCUGGCUAGAGUCCGGAAGAGGAGAAUGGAAUUCCUGGUGUAGCGGUGAAAUGCGCAGAUAUCAGGAAGAACACCCGUGGCGAAGGCGGUUCUCUGGGACGGUACUGACGCUGAGACGCGAAAGCCAGGGGAGCGAACGGG